rnacentral:rRNA from 1 species
UCCUACGGGGGGCAGCAGUAGGGAAUCUUCCACAAUGGGCGAAAGCCUGAUGGAGCAACGCCGCGUGGGUGAAGAAGGUCUUCGGAUCGUAAAACCCUGUUGUUAGAGAAGAAAGUGCGUGAGAGUAACUGUUCACAUUUCGACGGUAUCUAACCAGAAAGCCACGGCUAACUACGUGCCAGCAGCCGCGGUAAUACGUAGGUGGCAAGCGUUAUCCGGAUUUAUUGUGCGUAAAGGGAACGCAGGCGGUCUUUUAAGUCUGAUGUGAAAGCCUUCGUCUUCACCGGAGUAGUGCAUUGGAAACU